GUGAAAUAUUCUUCAGGAUUGUGCCCCAGAUUAAAUUCCCCAGUCCGUCUACAACCACUUCGAAUUCUGAAUUUUAAGUGCAAUUUAUAAAACUGUGUCAUAAACUUUCCUGAAUUCUUCAUGAACGUAGUGAUUAUGAGGAUGUUAGUACCAUUGGAACAAUCUCUCUGUUAGUAUUUACUUAAUUAAAUAAUCCACUAAAAUCCAGCGAUUUGCCAUCACAAUAACCACAAUUUCUGGCGAAAUUUCCUCAUGCGCUAUUCACAAUCUCUUGAAUAAUUUACGAUUCGGUGAUAAUCUCAAGACAAACUUCAUAUCCAAUUUGUGUUUUACGACAAAGUGAAUAAAAGGAUAGAUCGUGACACUUUAAUUAAAAAAUUGCGGAAAUGUGGAUUACUUUUCGAUUGAUUUUUGUAUUUGGGUUUCUCUUCAUCACGAAUGCACAGCCUCAACGUGGACUGGGAGUUCUCAACCCCUGCGGUCCAAAUCAGUCUUUCCGUCUGUGUGGGCCCCUGUGCCCCGCACUCUGUGGCAACCUCAGACCAAUUUGCGAUGUCACCAUUUGCAUACCCGGAUGCUUCUGCAAUCAUGGGUACACACGGCUAAUACGCAAUGGCCCAUGUGUAAACAUAUGUCCCGUGAACCCUGGAUUUUUAGGUCUGGGAUAGAGAUUUUACAAUUUAUGGACUUUUGAAUGUUCAUCGGAAUUGUGGAACCAGAAAUUGUCUGAGUAAUAAUAAUAUAUUUAUGUAGGGUUGUCCCCAAUUCCCCUAUCUUUCUUAGAUCCGGUAAUAUUAAUUAAAAAGUCGACUCAAAGAUGAGUCAAUUCGUUGUUUUACCCUUUCGUUAUCGCAAUAAAUAAUCACUUUGCCCUUA